rnacentral:piRNA from 1 species
UACUAAAUCCCAAGUAAGUAGAGGUGGCUUA